UACGUAGGGGGCGAGCGUUGUCCGGAUUUAUUGGGCGUAAAGAGCGUGUAGGCGGUUCGGUAAGUCUGUCGUGAAAUCCUGAGGCUCAACCUCGGGCGUGCGAUGGAUACUGCCGGGCUAGAGGGUGGUAGAGGCGAGUGGAAUUCCCAGUGUAGAGGUGAAAUUCGUAGAUAUUGGGAAGAACACCAGUGGCGAAGGCGGCUCACUGGCCCGUAACUGACGCUGAGGUGCGAAAGCGUGGGGAGCAAACAGG
rnacentral:rRNA from 1 species